rnacentral:rRNA from 1 species
CGGGUGAGUAACGCGUGGAUAACCUGCCUCACACUGGGGGAUAACAGUUAGAAAUGACUGCUAAUACCGCAUAAGCGCACAGUACCGCAUGGUACAGUGUGAAAAACUCCGGUGGUAUGAGAUGGAUCCGCGUCUGAUUAGCCAGUUGGCGGGGUAACGGCCCACCAAAGCGACGAUCAGUAGCCGACCUGAGAGGGUGACCGGCCACAUUGGGACUGAGACACGGCCCAA